rnacentral:rRNA from 1 species
UACGUAGGGGGCAAGCGUUGUCCGGAUUUAUUGGGCGUAAAGAGCGUGUAGGCGGCUUGACAGGUCUGCUGUGAAAACUCGAGGCUCAACCUCGAGAUGUCGGCGGAACCGUCUGGCUAGAGUCCGGAAGAGGAGAGUGGAAUUCCUGGUGUAGCGGUGAAAUGCGCAGAUAUCUGGAGGAACACCGGUGGCGAAGGCGACGAUCCGUGGAC